UACAGAGGGGGCAAGCGUUAUUCGGAAUUAUUGGGCGUAAAGGGCGCGUAGGCGGCUUGGCAAGUGGAAGGUGAAAUCCCUCGGCUUAACCGAGGAACUGCCCUCCAAACUGCUUUGCUUGAGGCCGGGAGAGGUGAGUGGAAUUCCCAGUGUAGCGGUGAAAUGCGUAGAUAUUGGGAGGAACACCAGUGGCGAAGGCGGCUCACUGGACCGGAACUGACGCUGAUGCGCGAAAGCGUGGGGAGCAAACGGG
rnacentral:rRNA from 1 species